UGAACCAGUAACAAAAAUAAAAAGAUCCCACCUUAUAGAGAAAGAGAGAGAGUAGCACUAUUUUGAUCCUGGGAUCAGAAUAAUUAUUCUCAUCACAGCGGCGCUAUAUAGGGCGGUACGAGCUAUUCCAGAGAUCCCGAGAAACCAAAAUUGAACCGGUAACAAAAAUAAAAAAAGCCCACCUCACCGCUUCCACGAUCCCCUCCGCCUGAUCCUCGCAUCUAUCGUCCCUCCCAACCGGAUCACGCCGCCACUGCGACCAACCUCCAUUGAUCGCGCCGCCACCGCCGCCUACCUUCCUGGAUCGGGCCGCCUCCGCCGCCUACCUUCCCGACUUGCGCCGCCUCCGCCGCCUACCUUCCCGGAUCGCGUCGCCACCACUGCUUGCUUCUCCGGAUCCACUCGCCGACGAUAUAGAUGACGCCCAACCACGAGCCAUGUUCCUUCCCGGAUCCAUUCUCGCUGGAUGACACAACCGGAGCCAUCGCCGUGCCGCCGCCUGGUCUCCUCAGCCAUGGAAUGUAGGCCUCCCGCGAGGUGCCCGUGCCGCCAACUCACGGCGGCGUCUCCAGCUCUUCGCCUCCUCCGUCUCCGCAGCCGCCGCACAUCCUCAUCCCCGGUUGGGCUCCACCACCGCGGUGCCUAGGCCAUUCAAUGACGCAACCCCGGAAGGCCAGUGAAAGACAGGGGAACCGGUGCACUGUCAAGCUAGCAAACAUGUGCAGCUGACGGUUUGGUGGGCGCGGCAGACAAAUUUCUUGGCAUGUGACUACUGGUUUGGCGGGCAGGCAAGAACCAACAAGCACAUCAGCUGCAGGCAAAGCUGCUAGCAGAAAAGAACUAAACCUUCAAGUUUAUCCAAAUUUCCGUCGAAUCUAUUCCCCAUGGACAGACUCUAGACAUCUCUGUUUUCGGCUAGUGCAUGCGACCCAGCUGCUUCUACUUCCUUUCUUCCUGCCGCUCAAUGUUGAUGUCGGUCGCUGCUAGCUGCUGUUCUCAGACAUUUCUAGUUCUUGUUGUGCCGUAUGGCUGCCCGACGCCACUGCCAUUUUCUGGUUGCUAUUGGUAUGCCGUUGCUGCAGUUCAACAUGACAAAAGAUAUACUUCUAUUAGAGAUUAGCACUGCUGCUGUCUGUGCUUAAAGAAAUGAGUAUAUAUAUAUAUAUAUAUAUAUAUAUAUAGGGUGACACUAUUUUAAUUCUGGGAUUAGAAUAACUAUUUGGAUCACAAUAUGCCACGGUGGCCUUCCUGAAAAAGAGAAAAAGAGAAAAAAUAGCCACCCCCAACCACUCCCCCGAUCCCCACCAGCCCAUCCCCCACCCGAUCCCCACCUUCCUUGUCCCUCCACAACCGCCGCCGCCCCUGGUGCCGGCACACCUCUCGUCGCCGGCCACCCCAGCCCCGUCGCCGGCCCCCGACCCACCAACCCACCCCCGCCGGCGCCGGAGGCGCGCGCCGCCCCCUAACAGGGUCUCACGCCUCCGCCGCUCCCACCAAGAUCCAACCAUGGCGGUCGCCUCUCCCCUGCUUCAAGCAUGGUGGCCGCCUCCCCCUGCUUCAACCACAACGGCCCUCCCUCCAUGCGCGCCGCCAACCGCCUCCGUCGCCUUGAUCCGGCCAACCACCACGGCCCACCGUCUCGCCUUCCUCGGGGCGCCCCGCCCACCCUCCAUAUGCGGCCAGCGCCCGUGGUCGUUUCCUGGAUCCCGGCGACCACAUCCAUCCACCACGCACUGCCACAGAGGACCCGCGCUCAAAUCCCUCCUCCGCAGUGGUGUUCGAACCGCAGCAUGGGGUACCGUUGACCUUCUGCCGGAGGCCGCUUUGACGUCGCCGGAAGCCACUCCCUCUCCACGCGCACGACCGGUCUCGCCUCCUCCCGGCGCGCCGCCGCCCCGACUCCUCCCUGUGUGCCGCCUCUCGACGCGCCGCCACUUGUCCUCCCGGUGCGAGGCCGUCGUACCCACCUCCUCCUGGCGCGCCGUUGCCCAGCCUCCUUCCGGCGCGAGGCUUGCCAUCUCCUUCAGGGCGAGGUGGGUUUGGACUUCAGCCCCUCCCGCUCCUCCCGGGCACUGCCACGCGUUCCCACCCAGAACCCCGCUUGCUCCAGUGCGCCGCUGCUGGUCCCUGCCCUGCACCCCCGUCCUCCCAUGCGCAGCUGAGCGUCCCCGCCCUGAACCUUGCCUCCUCCAGCCGGCUCAGCCCUGCCCUGCACCCUACCUAUGCUUUAUGUCCACGGCCGACUAUCUGAUGUUUGUCUAUCACUAGGUGCUAAUUCUUUAUCUAAUUGAUUCUGAUCUACAACAAACAGUGUUCCCAAAUCUGCAGAAGGAGCUCCUUAUUUUUUAUGUCUGAAGUUCAGGUGCACCAUGGAGACUACUGCGGCCGUUCGAAAUACUAGCAGGCGCCGUGCUAGCCAGCUGCAGGUCACGGUCUCCUCGAGUUGCAGGUCGUCUAAAUCUGGAGUUCUGGACUAUUUGAUCUACCGGGUUGGCCUGCGCCGGCCGUCGAAGCCUACCGAGGUGGUGCCUCACUGCUGCCUGCAUCUCCCCGCUCUUUAGGUUUAGAAAAGUUCAUCCUGGCGUGGAGUGAAAGUUCAGCUGGUGGAGCGCUGGCAACAACAACGUUUUACUGUGUUGUGUAGCCUACGGCUGCAGCACCAUUUUCCUCCUGAGACUGUUUUAAUUCUUGUGUUUCUGCUACUGUCAACAGAGAAGAAUAGCCAGCACUGAGCUACUACUGUUUGUUUUGCUUUAACAGCCAAUUUAGGCGUUACCACGAAGAAGACAAAGCAAGAAAAUUAUGGAGUGAAAGAGAUAAAAGAGUAGUGUGCCUACAUGGUGUGGAUAUGAAACGUGUUGUGUGUGAGAGGAUAAGGAAUGUGUGUUACUAUUCAGUGAUAAAAACAAUUUGUGGUUCAGAGAAAAAGCAAUGUUCUAUUA